rnacentral:rRNA from 1 species
UGAGGAAUAUUGGUCAAUGGGCGAGAGCCUGAACCAGCCAAGUAGCGUGCAGGAUGACGGCCCUAUGGGUUGUAAACUGCUUUUAUAUGGGAAUAAAGUGAGGGACGUGUCCCUUAUUGCAUGUACCAUACGAAUAAGGACCGGCUAAUUCCGUGCCAGCAGCCGCGGUAAUACGGAAGGUCCAGGCGUUAUCCGGAUUUAUUGGGUUUAAAGGGAGCGUAGGCUGUUUGUUAAGCGUGUUGUGAAAUGUAAGAGCUCAACUUUUAGAUUGCAGCGCGAACUGGCAGACUUGAGUGCACACAACGUAGUCGUAAUUCAUGGUGUAGCGGUGAAAUGCUUAGAUAUCAUGACGAACUCCGAUUGCGAAGGCAGCUUACGGGAGCGCAACUGACGCUAAAGCUCGAAGGUGCGGGUAUCGAACAGG